rnacentral:rRNA from 1 species
CCUACGGGAGGCAGCAGUGGGGAAUAUUGCACAAUGGGGGAAACCCUGAUGCAGCAACGCCGCGUGAGUGAAGAAGUAUUUCGGUAUGUAAAGCUCUAUCAGCAGGGAAGAAGAGAGACGGUACCUGACUAAGAAGCCCCGGCUAACUACGUGCCAGCAGCCGCGGUAAUACGUAGGGGGCAAGCGUUAUCCGGAUUUACUGGGUGUAAAGGGAGCGUAGACGGCUUGAUAAGUCUGAAGUGAAAGGCCAAGGCUUAACCAUGGAACUGCUUUGGAAACUAUGAGGCUAGAGUGCUGGAGAGGUAAGCGGAAUUCCUAGUGUAGCGGUGAAAUGCGUAGAUAUUAGGAGGAACACCAGUGGCGAAGGCGGCUUACUGGACAGAAACUGACGUUGAGGCUCGAAAGCGUGGGGAGCAAACAGGAUUAGAUACCCCAGUAG